rnacentral:rRNA from 1 species
CCUACGGGAGGCUGCAGUGGGGAAUAUUGCACAAUGGGGGAAACCCUGCUGCAGCAACGCCGCGUGAGUGAAGAAGUAUUUCGGUAUGUAAAGCUCUAUCAUCAGGGAAGAAGAUGACGGUACCUGAUUAAUAAGCCCCGGCUAACUACGUUCCAGCAGCCGCGGUAAUACGUAGGGGCCAAGCGUUAUCCGGAUUUACUGGGUGUAAAGGGAGCGAAGACGGAAGUGCAAGACUGGAGUGAAAGGCCGGGGCCAAACCCCGGCACUGCUAUGGAAACUGUGAGGCUAGAGUACUGGAGGGGCAGGCGGAAUUCCUAGUGUAGCGGUGAAAUGCGUAGAUAUUAGGAGGAACACCAGUGGCGAAGGCGGCCUGCUGGACAGUAACUGACGUUGAGGCUCGAAAGCGUGGGGAGCAAACAGGAUUAGAUACCCCGGUAGUC